rnacentral:rRNA from 1 species
UACGUAGGGAGCAAGCGUUGUCCGGAAUCAUUGGGCGUAAAGCGCGCGUAGGCGGCUCGGUCAGUCUGUUGUGAAAGUCAAAGGCUCAACCUUUGAAUGCCGAUGGAUACUGUCGAGCUAGAGUCCGGAAGAGGCGAGUGGAAUUCCGUGGUGUAGCGGUGAAUGCGCAGAUAUCAGGAGGAACACCAACGGCGAAGGCAGCUCGCUGGGACGGUACUGACGCUAAGGCGCGAAAGCGUGGGGGAGCGAACAGG